rnacentral:rRNA from 1 species
AACAAACGCUGGCGGCGUGCCUAAUACAUGCAAGUCGAACGGGGAAAGUAGCAAUAUGAGUACUAGUGGCGCACGGGUGAGUAAUACGUGGAUAAUCUGCCUUCAAGUGGGGGAUAACUAGUCGAAAGAUUAGCUAAUACCGCAUAAGACCACAGGAUCUGAGGAUCUAGGGGUUAAAGGUUUUUCGCUUGAAGAUGAGUCCGCGUGAGAUUAGCUAGUUGGUGAGGUAAUGGCUCACCAAGGCAACGAUCUCUAACUGGUCUGAGAGGAUGAUCAGUCACACUGGAACUGAGACACGGUCCAGACUCCUACGGGAGGCAGCAGUAGGGAAUAUUGCACAAUGGAGGAAACUCUGAUGCAGCGACGCCGCGUGAGUGAUGAAGGCCUUCGGGUCGUAAAGCUCUGUCGCAGGGGAAUAACACAAUGAAUGUACCCUGUAAGAAAGGAUCGGCUAACUUCGUGCCAGCAGCCGCGGUAAGACGAGGGAUCCUAGCGUUGUUCGGAAUUAUUGGGCGUAAAGCGGGUGUAGGUGGCUUUGUAAGUCAGGUGUGAAAGCCUAGGGCUCAACCCUAGAAGUGCAUUUGAUACUGCGAAGCUUGAGUGUUAGAGAGGAUAGUAGAAUUGUUGGUGUAGUGGUGAAAUACGUAGAUAUCAACAGGAAUACCGGAGGCGAAGGCGGCUAUCUGGCCAAACACUGACACUGAGAUCCGAAAGCGUGGGGAUCAAACAGGAUUAGAUACCCUGGUAGUCCACGCUGUAAACGAUGGAUACUUGUUGUUGGAGGUAUUGACCCCUUCAGUGACGAAGCUAACGCGUUAAGUAUCCCGCCUGGGGAGUACGGUCGCAAGAUUA